rnacentral:lncRNA from 1 species
UUUCCACCAGAAACCAGUUUUUUUUUUUUGCAAGCAUGUCCUGUAAGAUUUCCCCUGUUCUUUCUUUACUUGUCCUGCUACUAUCACUUUCACUACUCUUGCCUCCAACUUCAACCAGAAGCACUGACUUUGGUAAGUGUUACCUAUGUAAUGUAAGUUAUAACAAAAAGGAAAAAUUAAAAAUAAAAAAACAACUAUCAUUGUACAGUAACCUUCUUCUAAGUUUUGGAUUUUAAUCUAUUGUUCAGUACUUUGUUUUCCGUUUUCGGGUUGAUUGCAGGAAAGAAGGUCAAUGAAGAGAUUCAGAGAAAUCUAAUAGAAGGGAAAGGACCAAUUUGUCGUGUUCAUGCAGGAAGCGGUUAUCUCCCUAUAGAGUGUCCUCCUUUUCAUGCCAAUAGCGAGAAGAAGAAAUUUACUGGGGCAACAAAGGGUCAUAACUAGCUGUUACAAAACAAAGCCUUGCUAUGUGAGUAAUAAUUCUCUAAAAUUAAGUAGCAGAUAUACAAGAAAUAAAGAGAUUAAGUAAGGAUAUACUAUAAGUGUUCCUAAAUACAUAGCCUGAGACAUAACUCUAUCCCUACUCUAUUUUUUCUUCUCUCACCUAUCGAAUUAAACACUAGUAAAAAUAUUUUUUGUUUCUUCUUUUCCCCUUCCAUUCUCGCACUUUAAUCUUUGUACAAAAGGGAAGCCUCAAUUUCUAACUUACAGGUUACCACUCAAUCUAGUGGGCUUGCAAUUUCAAUGAACUCAGUGUUUCUAUCUUAAUUUGUUCACUUAAAGAUGGCUAAUGUAUUCUACAGCAUAAUUGUGAUUAUGAUUAUUUAUAAUGACGAUUCCUCAAAAACUUAGAAGUUGCUAGAAUGAUGAAGAUUAUACAGGUUCCUUUUCUUUUUUUUUUUCUUUUAACAGGAUAAUUGAAGACCAUAUAGAUUCGAUCAAAAGAAUUUUACACGCAGUUUGUGAUGCUCUUUGCACAUGUUACAGAUUUUAUAGGGGUAUAUGAUAUUAUAUAUGUACUGCUGAGACCACUAACCUACUGGCCUUGAACAAUGGAACUUGUGAAUUUUUGCCUUCAACUUAAAAGCCAUUAGUGAAUGCUUGCUCCUGUCAACUUUCUUUGUGCCAAAGUACGAAGCAACUCGUAAUCCUGCAUAUUUCGAGCAUUAGAAGUGUUGAAACAAGCACAAACAGACAAUUUCAUUUCAUCGUCCUAUUGUAUCGACUCAUUGCCACCUUUACAGGACUCCUGGCAUGGUGUAUAGCAACAAGUUCGGCAUCUAAGACAACUAGUAAUUGAACUUUAUGCGGGAAAAAAGUGAAACUUAUGCCGGUUCAGUUAUAGCAACAUGGCAGAGCAAAAUAAUGCAAAAAGUACCUGUACAAUAGACUGUGCACAAAGCUUCCCUGAGAGAACAGCACAUUCCAUUGAAGCUAAAUACUUUUGCUUUGUGUACAAGGGGCGGCGGGGUUCACAAUUUGGAACAGUUUUAUAUACAGAUCUGAAAUGAUAAUUAGCUUUUAGUUUCCGUAGGAAUCUAGUGACCAAGGUUCAAAUGUAAAUUGAUUUAAGGCCUGCAAUCCAUUUAAAAUAGGCGUACAGUUCCAAGUAUAGAUACAUGCAUUCAUGCAUGUAUGUGCAAACAUAUGUAUGUAAUGGUACUGAAAUCCUGUUUAGAGAUUGACUGAAAGUUUGUCCAAGGUAGCAUUAAAAGAUUCCCUUAAAAAUUUGAAAUAAAUAUUUAUAUUACAUGUUUCUAGCUCAAUUAUACUCUUUGAUGCAUCACUAUCAUUUAUCUAUUUCUAUUUAUAUAUAAAAAUAGAAACUCUAAAAGUUUUAAAGGUGAUCAAUCUAAAUAUAUGUAUUAAUUUUUAAAUUAAUAAAUUUAUUCUUAAAUAUAUAGAUUUUAUUAAUUUAUUUUUAAAUUUAAUUUAAAUAAACUAAAAUUAAAAAUAGAGUUUUUGUGAAAUUUAGCUACUUAAAAUUUUUUUAAUAGAGAUUCAAUUUAUUCUAUAUUGGAACUUUUUUUUAAAAAAUUUUUGUUAUAUUUAUUUGCUUUGAACUUAAAUUGACAUUUUCAAUUUAAUUUAUUAUCAUGAUAAUUAUUUCAAUUUUAAUUUCUAUAAAAAUACUAAAAUGAUUUCAUUAUACUCUAAUUAAAAUCUGGCUAACAACCACGUGCAUAAUAAGUAUAAAAAAAAUCUGGUUAAUAAUCACGUGCAUAAUAAGUAUUAAAAAACUAAGUACAUUUACUCUGUUUGAGCCUCUAGAACUUUAGAAUAGGAUGGCAUUUUCCGAAGCUUGGGCAUUUGGUUACAAAAUUGCCCUUCUCUCUCACAGACUUACCAUGGCUUCCAUGUCUACUGUUCUCUUACUCCUAAGUUUUGUAUGUUUAGCCAAAAGAAGAGUUUAACAAGAGCAAUCUAGCCCUAUAACGCCAUUCUCUACCUUUUUCUCCGAUGCAUAUGCCUCAUCAUGGCCUUCCACUUCUGAUCGAUUUGUAUUUGGUUUUUACUAGCAAGAUAAUGGCUUUGGCGUUGGGAUUUAAUUACUUUGCUAAAAGACAUAAAACGGUUGUGUGGAUAGCAAAUCAUGACGAUCAACCACCAUUAUUUACCUCUAAAACAACUCUAAAGUUUACUGAGGAUUGAUGGAAUUCUUUAUACUAGCCCAAAUGAGGUAAAAAGGGAUUUUCUUUUAAGGAAUGAAAUUAUGAAUACUUUUUAAGUUGUUUAUAUUUAAAUUUUUUUAUAUUUUUCUUUAUUUUGUAAAUUAUAUUAUUUAGCAUCUAUUAUAGUUUCUUUCUUGAUAUACGCAAAUCAAUGAGAAAAUAACAGUAAAUAAUUGAUAACUUCGUAAUUAAUUAUUAAAAACUUAAAAAUAAAUCAAUGUAAUUUAGUAGUUAUGAUCGAUAACUAAAUAGUUAAUCAAUUAUAAUUUAAUAAUAAAAUAUUGAUAACUUAAUAAUAAAUAAAUGAUAAUUUAGUAGUCAAUAAUUGAUAACUUAGUAAUAAAUUGGUGAUACAUAAUAAUAAAUGUAUAAUAACUUAGUAGUAAAUCAAUUAUAAUAUUAUAGUUAUAAAUACAUAACAACAUAAUAGUAAAUUAAGGAUAACUUAAUAAAAAAGUGAUAAUUUAGUAGUUAAUCAUUGAUAACUUAGUAAUAAAUCAAUAAUAACUUAAUAAUAUAUCAAUGAUAACUUAAUAGUAAAUCAGUUUAAUAGUAAUUAAUUAAUAAAGUUAGUAGUAAAUCACAAAUAACUUCAUAUAUAGUAAUUCAAUAAUAACUUAUUGAAAAAUAAUUGAUAAUUUAGUAUUUAAUAAUUUGAAACUUAAAAGUAACUGAUAGUAAAUCAAUGAUAAUUUUGAAAUAAAUAAUUAAAAUUUAAUGGUAAAUAAAUGAUAACUUUGUGGUAAAUGUAUAGUAAUAUAAUAGUAAAUUACUAAUAAGUUAGUAGUAAAUUAUUGAUAACUUAAUAGUAAAUCACUAAUAACUUAGUUGUAAAUCAGUUAUAAUUUAGUUGUAAAUCAAUUAAUCAUUGAUAACAUUAUAGUAAAUUAUUGAUAAAUUAGUAGUAAAUCUGUUAUAAUUUUAAUAUAAUCAUUAGUAACUUAGUAGUAAAUCUUUGUAGAUUAGUGAUAAGAUCAUUUAUAAAUCGAUAAUUAGUAGUAAAUUCGUUAUAAUUUUAUAAUUAAAUCAUUAGUAACUUAGUAGUUAAUCAUUUAUAGAUUAAUGAUAAAUCAUUUAUAAAUUAGUAAUAAUCAAUGAUAAUUUAGUAACAAAUUGUUAUAAUUUAAUAGUAAAUCAUUGAUAACUAUAGUAAUCAUUUAAUAACAUGGCAGUAAUAAAUGAAAAUAAAAUUCAAUUAUUGAUAACUUUUUUAUAUUUACAAUUGUUAGGGAUUGAAUUCUAAUUAUUAGCAACAAUGAAGCUAGAUCUUUCAUCUUAGAGGUAAGAAUAAACCUACUAUGAAUCUAUUCAAUAAAAAUUUUUAAAUUUGAAUAAAGUAAUAAUGUUAUUAUAUAAAAAUAAAUUUAUCUCAUCUAUUGUUAGUGUACUUUUUAAACUCCAUAUUUCAUAGUUGUAAAUCCAUAAUAACAUAGUAGAAAAUCAGGGAUAAUUUAAUAAAAAAUAAGUGAUAGUUUAGUAGUUAAUAAAAAUAAAUAGAAGCAUCAAUAGAAGAUUAUCUUAUGGAAAAUAAAAAAUCAAUUGAUUACGAAUAGCUUUAUCAAUAACUUAAUAGUUAACUAGUGAUAACUUAAUAGUAAAUCAUAGAUAACUUAGUAGUAAACUAGUACUUAAUAAUAAAUGAAUGAUAAUUUUGUAGUCAAUAAUUAAUAACUUAAUAGUAAAUCAGUAAUAAUAUAAUAGUAAAUGCAUAAUAACAUAGUAAUAAAUCAAUUAUAAUAUAGUUGUAAAUGCAUAACUACAUAAUAGUAAAUCAAGGAUAACUUUUUAAAAAUUAGUAAUAAUUUAGUAGUUUAUCAUUAAUUUAGUAAUAAAUCAAUGAUAACUUAAUAGUAAAUAAAUUUUGGUUUAAUAGUAACUAAUUUGAUAGUAGUAAAUUAUAAAUAAUUUAGUGGUAAAUAAAUGAUAAUUUGGUAUAAAUAAUUGAUAAUUUAAUAGUUAAUCAUUGAAAACUUAAAAAUAAAUCAGUAUAGCUCAAUAGCAAAUUAUCGAUAACUAACUUAAUAUUUAAUAAAUGAUAACUUAAUAAUAAAUUAUAGAUAAUUUAUCACAAAUUAGUAGUAACCUGGUAGUGAACAACAGAUAAUUUAGUAGUAAAUUGGUAAUAAUUUUGUAUUAAAUAAUCAAAAAUUAAGUAGUAAAUUCAUGAUAAUAUAAUAGUAAAUUAUAUAAUAUAAUACUAAAUUAUUAAUAACUUAAUAAUAAAUCAAUAAUAAUGAAGUAGUAAGUUACUAAUAAUUUAGUUGUAAAUCAGUGAUAAUUUAAUAGUAAAUUAGUUAAUCAUUGGUAACUUUGUAAUAAAUUAUCGAUAAAUUAGUAGCAAAUAACUUAUAACUUUAUAGUAAAUUAUUAAUAAUUCAGUGGUAACUAUUCAAUAAUUUAAUAGUAAAUCAUUCAUAACAUAAUGAUUAAUCAUUUGUAAAUUAGUAUAAAAAUUAUUGAUAGCUUAAAAUAAAUUAUUGACAACAUAAUAAUAAAUCCAUAUAACUUAAAUGUAAAUUAUUAAUCUUUUUUUAUACCUUAUGUUGUUAGGGAUUGAAUCUUGGUUACUAAUAGAAACAAAACCAGAAUUUUCAUCUUGGGGACUUGGAUAAAUCUACGUGAACCUACUUAAUAAAAAAUUAGUAAAAAAAUUAAAUUUGAACAAAGUAAUAAUGUUAUUAUAUAAGAAGAAAGGAAAAUUAUCUCAUAUAUUGUUAGUGGACUUUUAAAACUCUAUAUUUUAUAGUUGUAUAUGCAUAAAAACAUAUUAAUAAAUUAAGGAUAGCUUAAUAAAAAAUAAAUGACAACUUAGUAGUUAAUUAUUGAUUGCUUAGUAAUAAAUCAAUAAUAACUUCAUAGUAAAUUAUUGACAACUUAAUAAUAAAUAAGUUUUAGUUUAAUAAUAAAUAAUUGAUAAAUUUAGUAGUAAAUCAUAACAAGUUAAUAGUAAAUCAAUGAUAAUUUAAUAGUUAAUAAUUGAAAAUUUAAAAGUAAAUGAAUAUAACUUAGUAAUAAAUAAUCGAUAACUUGAUAGUUAAUUAGUGAUAAUUAGUUAAUAGUAAAUCAUGGAUAAUUUAAUAUAAAUUAAUAAUAACCUGGUAGUGAAUUAUAUUAAAUGUCUAAGUAGUAAAAUUUGAAAACUAAGUAAUAAAAUUAAUGAUAACUUGGUAGUGAAUUAUAUUAAAUCAAUGAUAACAUUGUAUUAAAUGUCUAACAAUAUAUUAGUAAAUCAUUAAAAAUUUAGUAGUAAAUUAACAGUGACUUAGUAUUUAAUCACUUAUAACAUUACAAUAAAUCACUAAUAAGUUAAUUGUAAAUCAGUGAUAAUUUAAUAAUAAAUUACUUAAUCAUUUAUAACUUUGUAAUAAAUCAUUGUGAAAUUAGUAGUAAACUAAUCAUAACUUUAUAAUAAAUCAUUAAUAAUUUAGUAUUAAUUUAGCAAAAUUUUAGUAGUAGAUUAUUAAUAAAUUAGUAGUAAAAUAAGUGAUAAUUUAAUAGUAAAAUAUUAAUAAUUUAAUAGUAAAUCAUUUAUAUAUUAGUAAUAAAUCACUGAUAACAUAAUAAUAAAUCAAUAAUAACUUAGUUGUCAAUUAUAUAUAACUUUUUUAUAUUUAAAGUUGUUAGGGAUUAAACAUUGGUUAUUAGCUGAAAUGAAAAUAGCUUCAUCUUUGAAGGUUAGGAUAAACCUAUCAUAAACUUAUUAAAUAAAAAAUUUUAGUAAAAAAAAAUUAAAGAUUUUAAUGAAGCGAUAAUAUUAUUAUAUAAAAAAAAUCUUGUACUAUAAUUAAACCAGCACUUUGCUGCGGCAAUCCAUUGUUAGAUAAAUAAUGGUACAAAUUUUAUCGAUGAUUACCAUAGUAUAUCAUAAGUUACUAAAAUUACAUCAAUAGAUUAUCAAAAUUUUAUCAAAAAUUACCAAAUUGUAUGAAUGAUUGCAAAAAUUAUAUCAUAAGUUUACCAAAUUGUAUCAAUGAUUGCAAAAGUUAUAUCAUAAGUCACCAAACUAAUAUCAAAGGUUAUCAAAAUUGUAUCAAAUAUUACCAAAAGUUUAUCAAAGGUUAUCAAACUUUUAACAAAGUUACCAAAAUAUAUCAAAGAUAAUUAAAAUCAAAACUAUAUCAAAAGUUAUCAAAUUUUACUUCUAUUCUACUAAAAUCAAAAUUAAUUUAUUAGGUUUUAUUAUUAUUAUUAUCAUUAUUAUUAUUAUCAUCAUCAUCAUCAUCAUCAUCAUCAUCAUCAUCAUAAUAUCUAAAAGUAUUUAUUGAACUAAAUUUUUCAUGAUAAAAAUUACAUAUCCGUUACGCACAAGCUAAAGACUAGUACAAAUAAAAGGGGAAGCCAUCCCAGCCAUGUAUUUUUCAGCCACGACAUAAUAAUGCAAGCAAUGACUAGAACUUGAUUUAAAAAAAGAAGUAUUGACAGAGAUUCUAAAAGAAUGCACUCAGUCUAACCUUGGUGUUUUAACAAUAUGGUACUUUACGACAUUUGCUUUGGUCUGACCUGCAGAAAUUUCAUCAGGAAAGAGCUUUGCAAGUUCCUUCAUUGUUGCAUCAAUAAUUUCUGAGUCAAUUCGUGUAAUCCAUUCUUCUGCAGAGGCAAAAACUAACUCCAACGUGGAUUGUUUGGAUUGUAAUAUUCCUGCAUAAAAACAAUAAUCAUUAAUUAGUGGUCACAUGCACGAAUGAGGAGACAAGAAGUUAAUCAGUUAGCCUCUUUUUGUAUAAAAAAAAUUUAUUAAAAAGGGGGGGGGGACGGUAAUGUCUCUGCACCUAUUAUUUUAUUCUUUUAUAUUAAAAACGAAACCCGCACUUUGCUGUGAAAAUCAAUUAUUAGAUGUAUGAUGGCACAAAGUUUAUCAAUAAUUAUUAAAAGUAUAUUAUAAAUUACUAAAAUUAUAUUAAAGGUUAAUUACUAAAAUUACAUUAAGAGGUUAUCAACAUUUUAUAAAAAAAUAUAUUAUCAAUUUUUUUUAAUGGGUAAAAAAAUUAUAUCAUAAGUUACCAAAAUAAUAUUGAAAAUUAUCAACUAUGUAUCAAAAGUUACUAGAAUUUUAUUAAAAAUUAACAAACUUUUAACAAAGGUUAACAAAACAUAUCAAAAGUUAUCAAAAUCAAAAUUAUAUCAAGUAUUAUCAAAUUUUACUUAUAUAUACUAAUAUAAAAAAUAAACUGUUAGAAUUUAUUAUUAUUAUUAUUAUAAAAAAAAUUUAUUAAAUUAAAUUUUAAAAAAAAUUACAUAAACAUUACGUACGUGUCAAAAAUUAAUAUAUAUAUGUAUAUAUAUAAGUUUGAAAGAAAUUUCUUAGCUCUUGCCCUCAAAUUUUGCACUAUCACAUCACUAAAAGCAGUAACAUCGUUCAUAGAAAGAGAAACAUAUACAAUUAAUAAAGCUGGAAACUUUAGCACAUGCUGAUUUUCAAAUUUUGAGUAGUGGAUAAUAUGUGUAAGUUGUAUGCUUGUGAUAAAAUGUUCAGCCUGCCAAUCUUGAAUAAUUACAAGUACUAUAUUUUAUUGCCUCUUAAUUAUGUGUAGAUUUAUUAAUUUAAAAUAUGAUACAGUGAUACAAUAAAAAAACGAUAAGAAAAAAUUAUGAAUGUAACAUGAUUUAAAAUUUUAGUAAAACUAUAUAAGAAUUUAACAAAAUAAAAAAUGUAUUUCAUAUUUUCAUUUUGAUACGAAUUUUUAUACGUAAUUUUUAUUAUUACCAAAUCUAACUAUAUUUGGUAAACAUAAAUAGAAAAUGAUGUAAGACUAAAUCAAUCCAAGGAGAUAGAAAGCACAUGAUGUCACAAGGCUCAAAGGGAGAGUUUGAGAUUUAAUUUGAUUCAUGUAAUCAUCUAUAAAACAUUGCAUUUAAUAAAUAUGAAUUCAAAAUCUCAACACCUUCAAUUUUUUUUUCAAUCCCCAAAUUAACGCCUUACAAAGAAAUCUCUUAGGUGUUGCACUCCCAUUUUGCAAUUUCACACCAACCAAAGGCACUAACAUUGUUCAUAUAAAGAGAAACAUACAGAACUAAUAAAGAUGGAAACUUUAGCACAUGCUUUUCAAUUUUUAAUAGUGGAUAAUAUUUUUAAUUUGCAUGCUUGUGAAAUAUUCAGCCCACCAAUCUUGAAUAAUUACAAGUACUAUAUUUUAUUGCCUCUUAAUUAUGUGUAGAUUUAUCGAUUUAAAACAUGAUACAGUGACAUAAUAAAAAAAAACAGUAAGAAAAAAUUACAAAGGUAACAUGGUUUAAAAUUUUAGUAAAACUAUAUAUGAAUUUAAUAAAAUAAAAAAUGUAUUUCAUAUUUUUAUUUUAAUACGAAUUCUAACAUGCCAUUUUUGUGAUUGCCAGAUCUAACUGUAUUUGGUGAAAAUAAAUAGAAAAUGAUGUAAUACUAAAUCAAUCCAAAGUGAUAAAAAGCACAUGAUGCCACAAGGCUCACAGAGAGAGUUUGAGAUUUAAUUCUGUUGAUUCAUAUAAUCAUCUAUAAAACAUUACAUUUAAUAAAUAUGAAUUCAAAUCUCAAUACUUUCAUUUUUUUUUCAAUUCCCAAAUCGAUGCCUUACAAGGGAAUUUCUUAGGUGUUGCGCUCCCAUUUUGUAAUUCACACCAACUAAAGGCACUAACAUUGUUCAUAUUAAGAGAUACAUUUAGAAGUAAUAAAGAUGGAAACUUUAGCUCAUGCUUUUCAAUUUUUAAUAGUGGAUAAUAUAUAUAAUUAGCAUGCCUGUGAUAAAAUAUUCAGCCCACCAAUCUUGAAUAAUUACGACUAAUGUGGCUAUAUGUUAUUGCCCCUUAAUUUACUAUGUGUUUGGUGAAAAAAAAAAAAGAAAGGAGUAAUACCGGAUCAAUGACACAAGGCUCAAAUAGGCAAAGAUACUGCUAAUAUUGCAACGAGUCUUACAUGUGUGUCUGAUUCUAUAUAGCUAGCUUGAUGGCAAGCUAAAUUACAAAAGCGAUUAUGAACGGACAUUGGUUUCAAUGAUAAGAUAGUUUUUUUUUUCUUUUUUUUUUUUUUAUUUGAAUCUGUUGAAAGAUUAUAAAAAAAAUUUAUCAUGAAUUUACUAAUCCAGACAUAUAUAAACCUGUUGCAUUGGUAUUUAUACGAUUAGUUGUUAGAAUAUUAUAUUUAUAUAUAUAUAUAUAUGGAUGAAAUCUUUUGUGUGUAUUUUUAUCGAAGUAUAAGUGACAAAUUUUUUUUUUUUAUAUUUAGCAUGGUAUUGACGGAUUGAUGGAUUUGAAACAAAUCGAAAAGAUUACAAAUGAAAGUAUUGAGCUUUUUUACACAGUAAAUAAAAACAAAACAUUACGAAAACAUUAAAAUGAUGACUAAUAUGCAAUUUACUCAUAAUACAUCAAGCAAUGACUAGAACUUGAUUUAAAAAAAAAAAAGUAUUAACAGAGAUUCUAAAUGAAUGCGCUCAGUCUAAACCUGGUGUUUUAACAAUAUGGUACUUUACGACUUUUGCUUUGCUCCGAUCUGCAGAAAUUUCAUCAGGAAAGAGUUUUUCAAGUUUCUUCAUUGUAGCAUCAAUAAUUUCUUACUCACUUCGUGCAAUCCAUUCUUCUGCAGGGGCAAAAACUAUUGCAAUCUCACAGAGAAAUUUCUUGCAGGGAAAUUUCUUAGGUGUUGCGCUCCCAUUUUGCAAUUUCACGCCACCAAAGGCACUAACAUUGUUCAUAUUAAGAGAAACAUAUAGAACUAAUAAAGAUGGAAAGUUUAGCACAUGCUUUUCAACUUUUAAUAGAGGUUAACGCAUAUAAUUUGCAUGCUUGUGAUAAAACAUUCAGCCUACAAUCUUGAAUAAUUACAAGUAAUGUUGCUAUAUGUUAUUGCCCCCUAAUUAACUAUGUGUUUGGUAAAAAGAAAAUAAAAAAAAAAUGUAAUAUUAUAUCAAUCUGUGGAGAUAAAAGCGCAUGAUGACAAAAGGCUCAAACAGGCAAAGAUACAGCUAAUAUUGCAACGAGUCUCCCAUGUGUCUGAUUCUAUAUAUAGCUAGCUUAUUGGCAAGUUAAAUUACAAAAGAGAUUAUAAGCUGACAUUGGUUUAAAUGAUAAGAUAGUUUGUUAUUUUCUUAAUUGGUUAAAUUUGAAUCUGUUGAAAGAUUAUAAAAAAUAAGUAAUCAUGAAUUUACUAAUCCCGACAUAUAUAAACCUAUUGAAUCGGUAUUUAUUAUGAUAUAUUGUUAGAAUAUAUGGAUGAAACUUUUGUGUCUAUUUUGUUUGAAGUAUCAUGUGACAAAUUUUGUUCAUAUUUUAGCAUGGUAUUGAUUCAACGAAAUUUCUUAGCUCUGGCGCCCCAGUUUCCUACACUUGACCCCCCACCAAAGCACUAACCAUGUUUAGGGAAAAAAAAACAUCUCUAUCAAUUACAAAACCUUUGACAUGGAUGCACUGAUGUUUUGUCAAAAUUGAAUUAUAACACGAAUAUAGAUAUUAAAAUUUUAUGAUAACUAAAUUUCAAAUUUAAUUCAAUUAUUUAUACAAUUAUUUUUAAGAAUUAAUUAAUAAAUUUAUAUUUAAAUUUUAGUAUCCGUAAUUUUUUUUCUUAUCUUCAUAUUUUUUCAUGUUAAAAAUUUAUAAUUUCUUUCCAUUAAGAUCUUAGCUUUUGAUGCAUGGGAAUAGAGUUUUUUUAGGGGUUUAAAAAUAUUAUUAUAUUUUUAUUAUUAUUUUUUAUUUUUUCUUUGUAAUUAAAAAAAAAUUGAUGUAACAAAUCAAGUAAUAUCAAUCCAGUAAAAUAAAUUGACCAAAAUAUCAAAUAAAAUUAUCAUAAAAUAUUUAAAAUUAAGGAGGCAUUAAUCUAUUUAGUUCUUUAAAAAAAAAAACUAUCCAUUAAAAAAAAAAAGGGUAUCCAUUUCAUUUUUCGAAAGAAAACUCUUUUCAACUUUAAUAGUGGGAGAUAGAUUGAUAUAAGGGAAAGACUUAAACGAAAUUAAUAUUUAAUUUAUAAUAUUAUAAUAAAUUAUAAAAAUAAAAUGGUUGAAACAAAAUUAAUAUUUAUUUUUAUAUUAAAUUAUUAUGAAUUUUUAUUCAUUUUUAUUAAUUUGUAAUAUUAUAAUAAAUUAUAAAAAUAAAAUAAUUUUUUGAACUUAUUGCUUUCAUAUUCUUUGAAUUAACCAAAAAUAUUAAUAUUAAUAAUACAUUCUAAUCAAUCAAACUAAUAAUACUUAUUCCAUUCUCCCAAAAUAUAAAGUCCAUUUUUCCUAUAUUACAUUCCGCGGACCGAAAGUAUGGUUAAUGCUUUGGUCAAAUGUAGAAAACUGGGGCUUUUGAGUGGGGUCAAAUGUAGAAACUGGGCCGCAAAAGCCGAUGAAUUUCUUUAACCUUUGAGCCUACGCCGGGCUUUAUCUAUUUGACUUAACCGGCCAGCAAAAUCUUCAUCAAUAUCCCUGAUAGAAAGAAAUAACGAUCGAAGGUAGAAGAAAUUAAGAGAGAAUGGACGUUUAUUUCAUCCCGCUACUAUGGCUUAUUCAAGCAGCAGCAUCGCAAGAAGCAUACGAGUCUGUUUGUGAUGAAACAUGUGGGGAUGUUUAUAUUCCAUCCCCAUUUGGAAUAAGAACUGGUUGCUAUAAAAAUUCGUGGUUUAGAGUAACUUGCAACACAACCGCUAAUAGGCUAAAGCCUUUCAUCAGUCGCAUCAAUUUGGAGCUUCUCGGUUCCUCUUGGUCAGAUAGCAGCGUCACCGUCAACAAUCCUGUAACUUAUCUCAAUUGCAGCAAUAAAGGAAACAAUGGCACGACUCAUCGUGCUAGUGUCAACCUAAAAGGCAGUCCAUUUUUCUUCUCAAGUAGAUUCAACGUAUUCGGUUCAGCAGGUUGCGGCAAAUUGGCCACUGUUUCUCGCGAAAUUCAAACUGAUCCCCUCGCUAGCUGCGUACAACAGCGAUGUGACCACCAGGCUUCUAAAUUAGGUGGCUGCUAUGCCGUAAUUCCUGAAAAUCUCACUUCAUACACUGCAACCGUGACAGAGAUCAUUAAUCCUGGGAAGCAAGAAUACAGCAAGAGAUGCACAUCUGCUUUCAUGUUUGACCCAAGGUCGAUGACCUCAACGUAUCAAGAUCCUCAAUUUCCCGACAGCAUAAGCAUUGAUACGACGCAUGUUCGUGCAACGCUGGAGUGGAACCCCGUCGAUUGCGAUUUGGGAGGUUGGCAUUAAUCGUGAUCACUUUACUAUUGCUUUCUUAUUUUAUUAAAUUAAAAUGAGAAAUAAUUAGAUAAUUUUUUUUGGGUAAACCUUAUAUACAUCGUAGGUGAUUUGCUACUUUUCUAUUUACAGUGUUUGUGGAAUUUUUUUACUUUUAAAUUACAAUUUUGGGGUUUGUUUUACUAUAAAAAAAAUAAAUAUGUAAAAAAUAAAAAUACGGAUAAUUUUAAAUUUUCAUUAGAAUUUAAUUAAUUUUUUUUAUCGUUAUGUCCUUUUUAACAACGAAAGUAAAUUUCAAAAUUAUAAAUAAAAAACAUAAAUUAGAAAGUGGCACAUCACAGAAAAUGUGAGACAAACUACAUGAGAUACAUACAUGCAGGGUUUACCCAGUUUUUUUUUUUUUUUAAUCGUAUCAGCUUUAGCCUUGUGAAAAAAAAUAUAAAACAAAAUAAAAAAAACUGACUACUAGGAAACAGAGACAAACCACACCCACUUCUGUCUCCUGCAAAUCCAUUUGCGUUUUUUCUUCUCUUUCCUUUUUAAAUUCUUCUCAAUACUUUUCAAUAAAUUUUUAAAUUUUAAGCACGAUCUAAGUUAUUUUAUCAAUAAGGCUGCUUUUAGAUUUAAUCGGGUGCCAUUGCAUUGGAAGAUUGUGCUAAUUACGUUGUAUAAUGUGAAAAUUUGCAUUUGGUUUUAAUUGGACAGUGUCAUUGACGUCGAUUUUUCACUAGUCGUUGUUAGUCUAAUGUUUUAUCGAAGAUUCAUUUGGUUUUUUUUUUCUUUAAUAAUUAUUAUAAAUACAAAAAUACCUUACAAUUUAUUUUUUUUACUUUGUUAAUUUUUCUUUUAUUUUUUAUUUAAAAAAUUUUUAAAAAUUUUUUUAAUUUAAUUUACUAAAAUUAUUAUUUGAUAUAUUAUUAUUUUUUAUUUUUAAUUAUUUAUUAAAAAUUAUCAUUUGUCAUAAAAAUAAUUAAUAAUUUUUAAAUUUUAUAAAUAUUAAUUAAUUUAAAUUUUUUAUUACAUAUAAUUUUUAAUGUAAUACUAUUAACAAUUAUUUUAUUUUUUCAUUAUAAUAUUAUUUUCACUAAUAAUUUUGCAUUCAAAUAUAUAUCCACUAAUUUUAAUAUUACUAUUACAUAUAUUAAUUUCAUCACUAUCACUAUUUUUAAUUUUAUCAAAAUUAAUUUGACCAUCAUCAUCAUCAUCAUUAUCAUCAUCAUUGUUAUGAUUAUUAUUAUUAUUAUUAUUAUUAUUAUUAUUAUUAUUAUUAUUAUUAUUAUUGUUAUUAAUCGGUGCUUCUGUUCUUGCUAAGCAGCCGCACGUUGCCAAGAAGUAGAACAAGUUGGCCCAGAACCUGCACAUCCCAAGCAUGUCUGUAUUGAAAGAUGUGGGAAGGUUAAUAUUACAUACCCAUUUGGAAUUAAACUCGGGUGUUACAUGAAUGAAUCGUUCAGAGUAAGCUGCAAAGAAACCGGUGAUGGGCCAAAGCCUUUCAUAAGUAGCAUCAACAUGCAACUACUUAAUGUUUCAUUUUCCCUGGGCAGAGUCAUCGUCAACAAUUCAGUAACUUAUUUCAAUUGCCGCAAUAAAAGUGAAGAUAAUAAUGGGCUUAGUGUCAACUUAACAGGCAGCCCCUUUUUCUUCUCCCAUAUUUUCAACAGAUUCGUGUCUGUAGGUUGCGGUAGUUUGGCUACUAUUCUUCGUAAUCCAACUGAUUAUCCUGUUGUUGGCUGCCUGCAACCCCGUUGUAGCAAUAUUGUGACCUCCAAUGAUAUCUGCCAUGCGAAAAUACCUCCGGGUCUCAGCUCCUUUAUUGCAAACAUGACAGAGUUUUAUCCUAGUGAUGGCAGCAGGAAAUCAUGUGGGUCUGCUUUCAUGAUCGACGUAAGUUUGUUGGAUUCACCUGGAACAAACCUCGAUCCCAGAACACUGCCAUUUGGACCCAUUCCUACAGCACUGCACUGGGUUUCGCCGAAAGAUAUACACGUUCCUACGGCACUGCAAUGGGCCAGACCAAUACGUGGGUCGUGUAAUUUGAAUGGUUCACAGACAUUUUGCAGCUCCAGUGGUCAAUAUUGUUGGGCAAGAUUGAGCGACAGCCAUCUAUGUGUUUGCAGCGUGGAUGUGAAUUCUGACAACGAUUAUUAUUAUAGUGAUGUAUGCCAAGGUAUCGUACUAAUACAAGUCUUGCUACGCCACAAAAAUAUAUAUAUUUUGUGUGGGCUCAGAUAUUGAAAAUUUACACAAUAUAAAAAAAAUUAAACUUUUAUUUGUUUUGGCAUUAUCUUAAUUAACAUAUUUUUGCAAGAACAUAACUUCAUUUAUUCAUUCCAUAAACGACAGAUAUAGGCAGUUGCGGGAAUCUUAAACACAGGUACUGUCAUAUGCUUUGUUUGAAUACCCCUGACAACUAUUGUUCGUCGCCAUGCCCUGCUACAUAUGAAUACUCAAGUGCUGAUGAUUGGUGCAUUACCAUUGAUGAUUUACCAAAUUCUACAAAGUCUUAUAAUUUACCGAUUAUUAUAGGUACGCAUUAAAAAUUUUUUUAAGUUAAUGUUACGAAUAAUCUUUGAAUUAUAAUAAAAUAUUUAAUAUGAUAUCUGAAAAAUUUUUAACGUAAUAUUUGAAUCAUGAAUCUAUUAACUAAUAUGAUAUUUGGAUAACUGUUUAUCGUCACAUAUUAUUAUUUGUAACUAAUCAUAUUAAAAAUAAAUAUCACAUUAAUUAACAGAUUCAUAAUUCAUAUAUCAAAUUCAAAAUUUUUAAAAUUCAAAUACCAUGGCAUUAAAUAUUUUACUAUAGUGUUAGAGACUAUUCUUAACAUUUUUUUUUUAUUUAAGUUUUCUUCUUGGGAGAAGUACUACGUCUUCGUUAAACAAAAGAUCCAUACUAAAAUUCCAGUACCUGAGAUAAAGCUAUAAGUGCUGAUAAAUUCACUUUCUUAAAGAUAGAAAAUAUGAAUCAUGUUGAAAUGCAUGUAUGGUUUUUCUUAAUAUAUAUUAAUUUGCAAAUUUACCUUUUGCAUAAUAAAUUAUGUUUCCUAUACAGGUUGCAGCACUAGUACUGGGACAGUACUUGUGCUACUUGGCACAUGGAAUCUGUACAAAGUACUAAAAAGGAGAAAAACCAUCAAGAUGAAGCAAAAAUACUUUAAAAGGAAUGGAGGUUUACUUCUGCAACAACAAUUGUCCAGCAAUGAAGGUAAUGUUGAAAAAAUAAGGUUGUUUACAUCGAAGGAGUUGGAAAAGGCGACAGAUUACUAUAACAAGAAUCGAAUCCUCGGUCAAGGCGGCCAAGGAACUGUUUAUAAAGGAAUGUUAACUGAUGGAAGCAUUGUGGCAAUCAAGAAGUCUAAAAUGGUGGAAGAGAAGAAAGUUGAUGAAAAGAAGCUUGAACAGUUCAUCAAUGAGGUGAUACUUUUAUCACAGAUUAACCAUAGAAAUGUGGUUAGGCUUUUAGGAUGUUGCCUGGAGACAAAGGUUCCUUUACUAGUGUAUGAGUUCAUCCCCAAUGGAACACUCUCUCAACUCAUACAUGACCAAAAUGAAGAAUUCCCAUUGACAUGGGAAAUGCGUUUUCGAAUUGCAAUUGAAAUUGCUAAUGCUUUAUCCUAUUUGCAUUCAGCUGCUUCUGCCCCUAUUUAUCAUCGAGACAUCAAAUCUAGCAACAUACUUUUGGAUGAUAAAUACAGAGCAAAAGUGUCAGAUUUUGGAAUUUCAAGAUCAAUUGCACUUGAGCAAACUCAUCUAACCACUCAAGUACAAGGAACAUUCGGAUACUUGGAUCCGGAGUAUUUUCGGUCUAGUCAAUUUACAGAGAAGAGUGAUGUUUAUAGUUUUGGGGUUGUUCUUGUUGAACUUCUGACCGGACAAAAACCCAUCUCCUCGGUACAAUCAGAGGAAGUGAGAAGCUUGGUGAACUUUUUUCUGCUUACAAUGAACGAGAAUUCCCUAUUUGACAUUCUUGAUCCAAUGGUAAGUAAUAAUGGUACAGAAAAAGAGAUUAUAGCAAUUGCAAAGCUUGCGAAGAGAAGCUUGAAUCUUAAUGGAAAGAAAAGGCCCACGAUGAAACAAGUUGCAAUGGAGCUGGAGAGGAUUAAAGCAUCAGAAGAAGCUAAUGCUAUUGAACAAAGUGUGGAUGAAGAUUCUGAUACAGAUGAGAUGAUCGAACCCUGGGCUAUUGCUUCUUGUUCAACGUCUAGGUCAAUCAUAAACGAUAGUGUAACUCUGCCAUUGGAUACAUACUCCUAGUUGGUUUCCAACAGUACUUGUUAAACUUUCUUCCUUUGGUGUCUUUUCUUUGUAAUAUAUCUGCCUGUGUGGUUCAGCUCAUCCUUGUUUUAAUUUCAAACUCUUUUUUACUUCAUUUUUUCUUCCUCUCGUUACUUUCCUCUCACCCGUUGUGGAAGGUCUCAAAUGCAUGCCUAAGACCAUCUCCGUUUCAAAUGUCAUGAUUGAUUAGAAUAAAUAUGAAAAAAAAAAAAAAAGAUUUAGUAUUGUUGACUUCCAACUGUUGUUCUUGGUAUACCAACAAGUGAAGACGAAGUUCAUAUUAUUUCAUACAUGUAAAAGAAGAUACCAUGCUUCUUUGCAUUGAUUUUUAAGUCAAAUAGGUGCCUGAGUGACGAUGAUUGUGGAGAUCUAACAUAUGCCAUCACUGCCAUCAUUUUGAAAUUUCAGAAAGUGAACGAGAAAAACGAGGCCGCCAAGCGUUCAUAUAGGAAUUAUCAAAAAGGAAAAUGAAGACUUUAGAAUGAAUACCUAAUGGACAAGACUCUCCAUCACAGAACAACUAAAUAUAGUAACUUCGGACCUAAUAUAAAAAUUAUAUGGUUUAAAAUUUUGAUAUAAAUCAUGAGUUUGACAAAACAAAAAAUUACGAUUUAUAUUUUCGUAUCAACACGAAUUAUAACAUAAUAAUUUUCGUAUUUUAUUCAUGUUUGAUAUGAAAGAAACGUGAUACAAAUAUGAAUUAUCAUGUCUAUGAAGCAUGAACCCCAAAUGUUCUUAUUUUAUAUGCAGUUGUUUAUCACCGGUAACAAUAUAUUCAUUCCCUUUCAGCAAGAAAAUUGACUUCCAAAUUCCUCUUUCUCCUCCAAAAUAUCACAACCUAAUCCGAUAUAGCUGCCAUUAGUUUCAACCAGAACCCAGGUUUUUUUGCAAACAUGUCCUGUAAGAUUUCCCCUGUUCUUUCAAUACUUGUCCUGCUACAAUCACUUUCACUACUCUUGCCUCCAAUUUCAACCAGAAGCACUCACUUUGGUAAUUGUUACCUAUGUAAUGUAAGUUAUAACCAAAAGGGGCAAAAAAAAAAAAAAACAACAACUAUCAUUGUAGUGUAACGUUCUUCUAGGUUUUGGAUUCUAUCUAUCGUUCAGUACUUUGUUUUUUGUUUUCAGGAUUAUUGUAGGAAAGAAGGUCAAUGAAGAGAUUCAGAGAAAUCUAAUAGAGGGGAAAGGACCAAUUUGUCUUGUUCAUGCAGGAAGCGGUUAUCUCCCGAUAGGUGUCCUCCUCUUCAUGCCAAUAGCGAGAAGAAAAAAUUUACUCGGCCGGUAACAAAGGGUCAUAACUAGUUGUUACCAAAACAAAGCCUUGCUAUGUGAGUAAUAAUUCUCUAAAAUUAAGAAGCAGAUAUACAAGAAAUAAAGAGAUUAAGUAAGGAUAUACUACAAGUGUUCCUAAAUAAAUAGCCUGAAACAUAACUCUAUCCCUCUUCUCUCACCUAUCGAAUUAAACACUAGUGAAAAUAUUUUUUGUUUCUCCUUUUCCCCUUCCAUUCUCGCACUUUAAUCUUUCUACAAAAGGGAAGCCUCAAUUUCUAACUUACAGGUUACCACUCAAUCUAGUGGGGUUGCAAUGUCAAUGAACUCAGUGUUUCUACCUUAAUUUGUUGACUUAAGGAUGAAUAAUGUAUUCUACAGCAUAAUUGUGAUUAUGAUUAUUUAUGAUGACGAUUCCUCAAAAACUUAGAAGUUGCUAGAAUGAUGAAGAUUAUAUAGAUUCCUUUUCUUUUUCUUUUUUUUUCUUUUAACAGGAUAAUUGAAGAUCAUACAAAUUCCAUCAAAAGAAUUUUACAUGCAGUUUGUGAUGAUGUCUUUGCACAUGUUACAGAUUUUAUAGGGGUAUAUGAUAUAUAUAUAUAUAUGUGUGUGUGUGUGUGUGUACUGCUGAGAGACCACUAACCUCCUGGCCUUGAACAAUCGAACUUGUGAAUUUUUGCUUUCAACAUAAAAGCCAUCAGUGAAUGUUUGCUCUUGUCAACUUUCUUUGUCCCAAAGUAAGAAGCAACUUGUAAUCCUACAUAUUUCAAUACAUUAGAAGAUCUGAAACAAGCACAACAGAUAAUUUCAUUUCAUCAUCCUAUUGUAUGGACUUAUUGCCACCUUUACAAGACUCUCCUGGCAUAGUGUAUAGCAACAGGUUUGGCAUCUAAGACAACUAGUAAUUGCACUUUAUGCGGGAAAAAAUGAAACUUAUGCCGGUUCAGUUAUAGCAACAUGGCAGCGCAAAAUAAUGCAAAAAGUACCUGUACAAUAGACUGUGCACAAAGCUUCCCUGAGAGAACAGCACCUUCCAUUGAACCUAAAUACUUUUGCUUUGUGUAAUCGCCUGCCAGACAGAACCCCUCUAUCGGAAAUCUUUGCAAGGGGCAGCAGGGUUCACAAUUUGGAACAGUUUUAUAUAAAGAUCUGAAAUGAUAAUUAGCUUUUACUUUCAGUAGGAAUCUAGUGACCAAGGUACAAAUGUAAAUUGAUUUAAGGCCUGCAAUCCAUUUAAUAUAGGUGUACAGUUCCACAUAUAGAUAAAUGCAGUCAUGCAUGCAUGUGCAAACAUACGUAUGUAAUGCUACUGAAAUCCUGUUUAGAGAUUGUACGAAAGUUUGUCCAAUAUAGCAUUAAAAGCUUCCAUGAAAAAUUUGAAAUAAAUAUUUAUGUUACAUGUUUCUAGCACAAUUAUACUCUUUGAUGCAUCACUAUAUGAAUAUAAGGGGAAGCCAUCACCAGCCAUGAAUUUUUCAGCCAUGGCAUAACAUUUCAAGCAAUGGCUUGGAUUUGAUUUAAAAAGAAAGUACUAAUAAAGAUUCUGAAAGAAUGCACUCAAUCUAACCUUGGUGUUUUAACAAUAUGGUACUUUAUGACUUUUGCUUUGCUCUGAUCUGCAGAAAUUUCAUCAGGAAAGAGCUUUGCAAGUUCCUUCAUUGUAGCAUCAAUAAUUUCUGAGUCACUCUGUGCAAUCCAUUCUUCAGCAAGGGCAAAAACUAACUCCAGCAUGGAUUGGUUUGGAUUGUAAUAUUCCUGCAUAAAACAAUAAAUCAUUAAUUAGUGGUUGCAUGCAUGAAUGAGGAGACAAAAAGCUAAUGCAGUUAACCUCUUUUAUAUAACGAAAAAAAUUAUUUAAAGGGAGAGUAACAGUAAUGUCUCUGCACCUAUCAUUUUAUUCUUUUAUAAUUAUUACUUUCUCAAACUUUCCUUUUUCUCAAUUCUCAUGGAAGGUUGAGUUAAAAUUACACUUCUAUAUCCAACCGUUCUUUGGAUUUGACAGUUGCCAAUAAUUAAUAGGUUCCCCUUCCAAGGCUAAGUCAAUUUUUGUAAGUAAUUUUCCCAUGUUCAUCAAUAACAGUGACUUCAAUAGGUUGCUUACCUUCUGCCUUAGAUUGGGAAACUGGAGUUUGAUGACUAUUGGACACAUGAUUACCUCCAUUUGUUUCAGGCAUUGCUUGGCUAUCAAUAGGCAGAGACCCUAGACAGGAAGUAAUAAUAUCCCUACACUAUGGUUUCCACUUUCUUAUAAGCAAAUAACUUUCUUCCUCAAAAUUUAUUCUAGUUCCAUUUCUACAUGAAUAUCAUGAAUUUAGAAAGACGUUUAGUAAAAAUUCAUAAAGCUACCAUGGGGCAGGCAGAUAACAAGCACGAGAGCUAAACAUAUAGCAAAGAGGGGGCAAAUUAAAGGGCUAAUGAAUGAAGUAGGAAGACCUGCUGAACAGUAGAUGAUCAUAGAUGUUCUUCAAUUUCCUAUCAAACCUGCAAAUGGAGAUAAUGUACACCACUCAACCAUGGGCUCUCACAUUAAAUUUUGGUGGGAAAGGUAUAAAUAUAUACAUAUUGCAGUCUUGAAACCCAAAAAAGAUCUGAGUAUCGUAGCACUAUAGAAAAUAAUGCAUCUGUUUACAAGGGAAUAGCAAGCAUGUAUCACUAAAUUCAUUUCAUCAGUGGAGUGCAGUGAAUUAAUAAGAAAUUAGAGACAACAAUGCUUGCUACAAGAACUCUGAACAAAAAUAAUGCUGCAUUCUGAUGGGAGAUCAGUGUACGGUGUUGGGGACAAUGUAAAACCUAAAGGUUUUAAUAUUGGUCUAAACUUGUGAUGCAUGAAUCCUCCAUUUUUCUUGCUGGUCAUUGACGUAAGAAACAGCUUCCAGCGAUCUCCACUAAACAAUUACCCCUUGCAUGUGAAUUUCGACCAUAUUGGGCUUUGAGUUAAGCUCCACUCUGCUUAUGAGCACUGAAAAGUAAUCCACAAUUUUGCCCUCUCAUUAUGACUCUGUACAGCAUUGGCCAUGAUAUAGCCUCAAAUGAACUACCCCUUGUCUAUAUAACCUCAAAUAAAUCGCCCUUUGUUUGUCCCCUUUUCAAUGGGAAAAUAAAAGAAAACCACGGGACAUUCAACCAAAAGCCCAAAGCUUAUUAAUACUGCUUAAAGAUGCUGCCAUGAAAAUAAUAAAAUUGCACGACAUAACAACAAUAGGAAACACAUGCAUGCUCUUCUAAACUACUCUUAAAAGUCUAUGCAACCUAGAGAGUCAUAGCACAUGCCCAACACUCCUGCUUUUUGCUUAGAGGGCAUAUCAAAUGAAGGACAUAAUGUAAAUGAUGAGCAAUAUCUUUUGUGAAGGGCUGAAAAACAUAUACCAGUCCUUCAUUUCUCCAGCACUGUUCUGAUGUGGGACUCUAUACCCUAGGUGCUCUCAAACUGGGUUAUAAUAUGCUGCAUCAGCACUCAACCAUUCAGCUCAUGGUCAAGAUCAAUACCCACAUAUAAUAGUUUCUUCCCGUAACACUUCUUUUAAGUUUCCAUGUUCAAUCAGUUGAAAAGAUAUCAAUAGAAAGUCAACGGGAUGUACUUACUUCAAACAACAUCUUUAUGAAGUGCAAAGAUUUAGAAAAGGGUUGGGGAAUGAGACAGACCAAUAGCAAUACCAAUGAAUUGUUUGAACAAACAAUAGAAUUUGUUACUAACCAUAUGUGAACAUUGAUAACUGGAACUCCAACUAAUUUAUCUAAUUUCUUGAAGUAUGAAAUCUUUCUCCAAUCUUCAUGCAAAAGUAGCUUGAGGAUAUCAACUGACAAGUUCAACAUCCAUCAGCUAUUAUUAGAGAAGCCGGUAAUCUAGUAAAGCUAAAUAGUACUAUUCAAUAGGAAACAGUGUAUACCUGGAGUUGCAAUUAUGUAAGCAUCUCCUUCAAUUGUAUUGCCAUUAUUUAGAAGAAAACCUUUCACAUUUCCAUCAUCAUUGAGCUCUAUUUUCUUUAUUCGUGAGUUAAGCCAGACCUCACCACCCAGUGAUUCAAUAUGAUUAACAAUCGGCAUGCAAAGCCUCUCAGGGGGGUUUACGUCCAAGAAUGCCAUCUUUGAGCCAUUUUUCUCCUGUAGUUGGAUUUUCAUACGUUCUUAGCAAGCUAGCGUAAUGUUGUUAUACCUUGCUUUCCUUAUUUUGUAUAACCUCGACUGUAUAAAAAUGAAUGAAUAUGACUAUCCAACAAAUGUAUAUUCAAUGAACCUUGUUUGCAGUACAAAUUACAAAAGCUUCACCAUCUGUAGAUGCUUCUGGACUCUAGCAUAUAAGAGUACAAGAAAACAUGCUAUCUCAAAGUGAUUGGAGAACAUCCAAUGAGCCAAAAUUAAAAUUACCUGUCUGUUGCUCGAUCUAAUAAUGAUGUAUUAAUCGAGGUGUCCAAGUUUCAUAUUUAUAGAUUCCUUUGGGACACAAAUAAUGUCACUACCGUUGACGUAUGGCAUAAGUUUCUGUUUCAAGUACAAUUCAACCAUGGAUCAUUUGAUGAUUUUGUUGCUGAUUCUGAAUCCAACAUAAUGAAGUUAUAAAUAUAAAACCAGUGGGCCAAACAAGGGAACCACACCUGAAGAAAUCGAUUCAAAGCAAUCAAUAUACAUUGCAUUGAAAGUUCAUCGGGGUUAAUGAAGUUCAGUGCCUUUGACAUGGCAAUAAACACCUCAUCAGUCACACGAUCAGGUAUGCCCUGAAAAAGAAAAUGAUGAAACCAGUUUUCUUUAUUUUUAAUCAUUUAACGAGUUUUUGCUACUUAAUGCAAUUCAUACCAGAUUCAUUAACAAUGACGCAUGGGCAUUAUUUAAAUGAAUGUAGAGGCUAAUGCAUACAUUAACUGAUAGACUUUGCAUCACCUACAAAAGUUCACUCUACUAAAUAUAACUCCGCACAAGGCAACUUGGUUUCUAAAGUUUCUUUUGUUACACAAUUUCAUAAAUUCACACCUCUCCCUCUCCCUCCCCCUCUUCCUUUUUCCAUUUUCCUAGAAGCCUUCGGCAAUACUUUUCUCCCAUCUAAAAGUUUAGCAUCAUGAUAUUUCAUGUUUCACUCAUAUAAAAUGAAGCACCAGCACUAAAAUCAAUGGACAGUCAUGCACACAUUUAAUACUAUGAAUAUAGCACAGAAAUGAGACUCCUCAGGGACCCCAAGUGACUUCAAACAAAUCCAGGCGUAAGGAUUGUUGUUCUAUUAUACUUGUACUCUUAUGCACCUUUCUCAAGCAAGAAAUGUAUCAUGUAUUUGGUAAAGGCUUAAAACUCUGUAUCAGACCCAUACAUGCAUGCAACCACAGGACAGCAAAUUAAUUGCACCAUUAUAUGAGCAGAGCUUAAAGUUGACGAGGCUCUUUUUGGGAAGUUUUUUAUCAGGAUGAACUAAGCUCACCACUCAGACACCAGCCAAACUUGCACCCAUACCAUUUAUGUACAUGCUAAUAGCCUCGAAAGGAGAAUUUUGUCAAAAAAAUAACUGACAUACCUGCUUUUUCAUCCACUCUUUAACAGUUAAACCAUCUUGGGCUUCAACAUAAGGUUGUCCACCAAGCAUUGCUGGUAAGAGUCCUAUUGCAAACUUCACUUUCUCAGGCCAAGUCAGCAUUUCAUUGUUCUUCAAAAUGGCCCAUAUCCCUGUCAGUUUACAUUGAUAGGAGAUAUAAGCAAAUUGUAAUUUUUUACUUUCGUAGGUGUUAGUCCUGGCAUUCAGCGUCUGUAGAAAAAAUUCCACAUAAAUUUAAAUGAUAAGGGCAAAACAUAGUUUCCCAAUUACCCCAAUGGGUCCAACACUAAUAUGGAUCAGACACAUUCUAAAAGGGGAAUGUAAUUCAGCCCCCAACAAGGUAUGGCUUCCUACGUACAUGGACAAGACAAAAAUAAAAAUAAAUAAUAACAAAAGAUGAGAUCUAUUCCUAGAUCAAAACCUUACAGAACGAAAAUACAAGCAAAUAAUCUAGGGAUUUGUCUCAAUCACACCAGAAAAAAAGAUUAAACAAUUGAAACAGGGAACAAGCAAACAUAGAGAAAUAAGAUAUGAAGAGCUUUUGCAAAUUUCCUACCAUGGCCACAACAAGAAGAAAACCCAUCGUUGAAAGAUCAAGAAAUUAUAAUUGGUCAUCCUCCCAAAACCCCUUACACCCAACCGUUAUGAGCUGUUCUCAUUCACAUGCUCAUUGGCAGACUUAGAAACACCGAAAGACUCAUUUCCUAUAUGAAGAGCCUGGAAAGUUCAUACGCAAAAGAGUGGGUUCAUUAGAAUCCCUUUUGGAUUGAAUAUGCUGAAACAGAGCCAAUUUGAUAAAUGAAAACUUGAUAAACCGAGGAAGUCAACAUUCUGCCACAAUCUAGUGUAGUUCCAAAAGUGGCCCAACUCUCAGAGUUCAAGAUUUCAAGAAAGCAAAACAAUAAUCUUCAAUUAAAAGGCAUACAACUUAAAAUCAAUUAGCAAUAAGUGGAGAAACCUGUCUUGAAUAUAAGGUUGGUCCUAAGAAGCCCCAAAUUAAACAAUCUUGGAUUACCAGGACCUAAUGAGGACAACUAAUGCUUCAGUCUUAUGUUUUCUACUAUGACAAACAACUAAAGGAAACUAAGGGAAAGGCCAUGAGCAAUUUGGGUGACCGACAAUAAAUACACAUAAAUGGAAAGAAGAAACAUCAAUAGCAAACUGGAAUAUAUUGACUAACCUAUAAGAUAGAAUGGCGACAAGACCGAAAAACUUGUCCCCAAUAUUAAUUAAUCAUUUAGAACAAGGUGUUGUCUACAGCCAACCAAUUAAAUCAAAACAGGUACACAAACAGGCAGUUCUAUUUUCCUACUGUUUGUAAAAGCAAAAACACAUUUUCAUAGAUUUGUACAAACAUAUACAAACUUUAGUUACCAUGUAUUUAAGUGGUUUACCAUUUAUGGGUGCAGGUAGAACUUCUGGAAAAUCAAAUCGGCUGAACUCUCCAGGUUUAUUUGGCAUUGCAAACAUCAUAGAAUGCUCCUUCCAUUGCAGCUGGUCAUUGAUGCCAAGUUCUCCAAACAAGUUUUGCACAUUUGGGUAAGCUCCGACUUGCCAAAAAGAAAAGAAAAAAUAAAUAAAAAAGAUGUUGAAAUGUAUCAGAUAGUUCGGCACGACAAAACAGUCAGGAGAUGAAGAAGAAAACAAUAGGUGGAAAUAUUGUCNNNNNNNNNNNNNNNNNNNNNNNNNNNNNNNNNNNNNNNNNNNNNNNNNNNNNNNNNNNNNNNNNNNNNNNNNNNNNNNNNNNNNNNNNNNNNNNNNNNNNNNNNNNNNNNNNNNNNNNNNNNNNNNNNNNNNNNNNNNNNNNNNNNNNNNNNNNNNNNNNNNNNNNNNNNNNNNNNNNNNNNNNNNNNNNNNNNNNNNNNNNNNNNNNNNNNNNNNNNNNNNNNNNNNNNNNNNNNNNNNNNNNNNNNNNNNNNNNNNNNNNNNNNNNNNNNNNNNNNNNNNNNNNNNNNNNNNNNNNNNNNNNNNNNNNNNNNNNNNNNNNNNNNNNNNNNNNNNNNNNNNNNNNNNNNNNNNNNNNNNNNNNNNNNNNNNNNNNNNNNNNNNNNNNNNNNNNNNNNNNNNNNNNNNNNNNNNNNNNNNNNNNNNNNNNNNNNNNNNNNNNNNNNNNNNNNNNNNNNNNNNNNNNNNNNNNNNNNNNNNNNNNNNNNNNNNNNNNNNNNNNNNNNNNNNNNNNNNNNNNNNNNNNNNNNNNNNNNNNNNNNNNNNNNNNNNNNNNNNNNNNNNNNNNNNNNNNNNNNNNNNNNNNNNNNNNNNNNNNNNNNNNNNNNNNNNNNNNNNNNNNNNNNNNNNNNNNNNNNNNNNNNNNNNNNNNNNNNNNNNNNNNNNNNNNNNNNNNNNNNNNNNNNNNNNNNNNNNNNNNNNNNNNNNNNNNNNNNNNNNNNNNNNNNNNNNNNNNNNNNNNNNNNNNNNNNNNNNNNNNNNNNNNNNNNNNNNNNNNNNNNNNNNNNNNNNNNNNNNNNNNNNNNNNNNNNNNNNNNNNNNNNNNNNNNNNNNNNNNNNNNNNNNNNNNNNNNNNNNNNNNNNNNNNNNNNNNNNNNNNNNNNNNNNNNNNNNNNNNNNNNNNNNNNNNNNNNNNNNNNNNNNNNNNNNNNNNNNNNNNNNNNNNNNNNNNNNNNNNNNNNNNNNNNNNNNNNNNNNNNNNNNNNNNNNNNNNNNNNNCAAAUAACAAAAAGUAUACUUCCUUAUAAUUAAUUUCACUUCAGGAUUAUUGAAAUUAUUGCGAAAGAUAAAAAAUAUAUUAGAUUCUAAUUGUGUUAUUAUUUCAAUUAAAUUUCAAUUAUGUUCAAUCAUUUAGAUUUAAAUAGAUUAAUGUUUACUUUUUAAAAUUAAUUGAAACUGAGUCAAGUUAAUUUAUUUUUAAACUAUGUUAUCAUAUUAAUUUUUAAUUAAAUUAAAUUUUAAAAUGAGUAAAAAAUUUUAUUGUAUAUCAAUUUGAGUUUUAAAUUGUUUCAAGUUUGAAUUAAUUAAUCAUAUUUUUUAGUUUAUACUUUUAUGACACUAGUAAUAAAUUUCAAAAAAAAUGAGAACAUAAUACAAUAAAAUUUUAAGCGGCAAAAGUUACGAAGAUACUAAUGAAAAUUUUAGAAGAAAAUUCUUAUACCCAAGUCUUACAUAAAUUAAAGGAUAUAAUUUCUUUUGAGAAUUCUUGAAUUCAUAUUAUAGAAAUUUUAAUCUAGAUCAAUGAGUUUAUAAUGGUUCAUUUACUGAUUAAGUUGCUACUAUAUAGGUUGAUGGAAAAAACUUAAAUAUUUCAUUUGAAAGAAAUAUCAUAAUUCAUACUUAGGAAACAACAUAGAAUUAAUAUAAUAACUUUGUAGUAAACAAUUAUAAUAUAGUUAUAAAUGAACAAUAUAGUAGUAAAUCAAGGGCAACUAUUAAAAAAAUAAGUGAUAACUUAGUAGUUAAUUAUAAUAACUUAAUAAUAAAUCAAUAUAACUUUAUAGGAAAUUAGUUAAUUUAAUAGUAAAUCAAUUUCAAUUUAAUAGUAAUUAAUUGAUAUGUAGUAAAUCAUAAAUAACAUAGUGGUAAAUCAAUGAUAACUUAGUACUAAAUAAUUAAUGAUUUAACUAUUAUCAUUGAAAACUUAAAAGAAGAAGAAGAUAAUUUAGUAGUUAAUCUUUGAAAACAUAAAAGUAAAUCAUUAUAACUUAAUAGUUAACCAAUGAUAACUUAAUAGUAAAUAUGAAUAACUUAAUAUAAAUUACUGAUAAUUUGAUAAUGAGUUAUGGACAAUUUAGUAGUAAUUGGUAAUAAAUUUUAAAAAUAAUAAAAAUUAAGUAAUAAAAUCAAUAAUAACAUAGCAAUAAAUACAUAAUAAUAUAAUAAUAAAUCAUUUAUAAUUUUUAGUAGUAAAUUAAUUACAAAUAAAUUAGUUAGGUUCCUUCAAACUUAAAUUUAUUGCGUUCAAAUAUAUUAUUUUUUAAAUUAGAUUUACUUAUUAUAAAUUAUUUUUAAUUUAAAAUGAAUAAAUUAGUUAUUAUUAUAUUUUUACAAAUAUGUAGAUUUAAUUUUAAUAUAUAUAUGAGUACUAUAAUUAUUAAAACCGAUAAACAAAUAUUCAAUUGGCAUCAUUUUCUUUUUUUAAUCAAACUAUUUUUACUAUACAUUGCAUGCCCAUUUUUUGUGAAAAUUGUUAUAAGUCAAAAUAAUUACAAUGACUAGUUUAAGUAUCUUUUUCAUAAUUUUAAAAAUAUCAUACAAAAAAAUUCAAAGAUUUUAACUAAUUGUAUCAAAGUUUUUACUCUAUUGCUCUAAAUUUUAUUUUUUAGUUAAUAAUUUUUUUUACUUUUUUACUUUAAUACUUAAGUAUGCUCAUUUUUAAAAAAAACUAUUACAUACUAAAAUAAUUAAUAUGAAUAUAGCCUUAGUACCUUUUCGUAAUUUAAAAAGUACCAUUUAAAAAAUUAUGAGGUUUCAGUUUAUUAUAUUAAAAUCUUUACUUUACUGUUCUAAAUCUUUUUAUUCAAAAAUGUAAUAUUUUAUGAAUUUUUAAUGUAAUAUGUAAAAUAUUAAAUAUCACAAGAUAAUAUACUAAUAAUGUAAAAAAUAAUUAUAUUUUUUAUAAAAUAUGUUGCUAGUGAUUUAUAUAUAAUUUAUUUUAUAUAUUUUACAUAUUCUUUUUAUAUAAUAAUAGGGUUCGAACUUUUACUUUACAUGAUUUUUUAAAUUCUUUUAACUAUUUGAUUAGAAGUUGAAGACAUUAUUUACAUUAUUAGCAUUACUUGUAAUGCAUUAAAUGUUAUUAUUAUAUUUGCAUUUAAAUUUUGUUAUUAUUAAUAGAUUUGAUAUAUUUUUAAAAAAAUUAUUAUCAUAAAAUAUUAUUUCAAUCCCCCGAAGUUAAGCAUUAAGAUCCGUUACUGUUAAACGUUAAUAAUCAUGGCCGACAUCAUCAUUUGGAAAUUCAGAAAAGAGAAGAAGAGAGAGCAAUUGUACGAAACUGACGACUUAGGAAUGAACGAGCGGGCAGCUAUAUAUAAUGGAGCAUGAACCCAAUCCGGUAAAGCUGCCAUUAGUUUCAACCAGAAACCAGUUUUUUUUUGCAAGCAUAUCCUGUAAGAUUUCCCCUGUUCUCUCUUUGCUUGUCCUGCUACUAUCACUUUCACUACUCUUGCCUCCAACUUCAACCAGAAGCACUCACUUGGGUAAGUGUUAACUAUGUAAUAUAAGUUACAACGAAAAGGAAAAAAAAAAAAACAACUAUCAUUGUACCGUAACGUUCUUCUAAGUUUUGGAUAUUAUCUAUUGUUCAGUACUUAAUAAUUUAGUAAUAAAUUAUUUAUAGAUAAAUGAUAAAUUAUUUAUAAAUUAAUAAUAAAUUAAUGAUAAAUUUAAUAAUCAAUUAUUAUAAUUUAAUAAUAAAUUAUUAAUAACUAAUAGUAAAUCAUUAAUAACAUAAUAAUAAAUAAAUAUAUAAUUAUCAAUUAUUGAUAAUUUUUUUAUAUUACAGUUGUUACGAAUUGAAUUCUAAUUAUUAGCAAGAAUAAAACUAGAUCUUUCAUCUUUGAGGUUAGAAUAAACUUAUUAUGAAUCUAUUCAAUAAAAAUUUGAAUAAAAUUUUUUAAUUUGAAUUAAAGCGAUAAUGUUAUUAUAUAAAAAAAAUUUAUCUCAUAUAUUGUGAGUGUACUUUUUAAACUCCAUAUUUCAUAGUUGUAAAUCCAUAAUAACAUAGUAAAAAAAUCAAGGAUAAUUUAAUAAAAAAUAAGUGAUAGUUUAGUUGUUAAUAAAAUAGAUGGAAGUAUCAAUAGAAGAUUAUCCUAUGGAAAACAAAAAUUGAUUGAUUAUGAAUAGCUUUAUUGUCUCCAUGUGACAAGCAAGAUUAGUACUAUAUGAUAUUUCAAUGAAGAAUAUAUAAUGCAUUGAUUUCAAAAUUUUUUAGGAUUAAUAUGAAAUUCUUUUAUUAAGAGGAAUAUAGUAAACUCUUUCAUUUUCUUCAUUAUAUUUGGUGAAAAAUAUUCAUUGUUGUAUCAAAAUUUUUAAGGUUACUAUAUUGGUAAUAUUUUUCAAAAAUGUUAAAAUUUAGUAAAUUAAUUAUUUUUUAUAAAUUUAAUUUAAUUAUACUUCAAAUUGAUUUGAAGGUAUUCAUUAGCAAAUUCAUUUGAUACAUCUUUAUUUAAUUAAUUACUUAGUAUUUUAAUUAUUUAAAAUUCUUAUUUUUCAUUAUUUUGAGUAGGAUUUGACUUAAGAUUAGUGAUUAAUUAGGUUAAAUCAAGUUUUAUCAUUUACCUUUAUUCAUAGUAUACUUAAUUAUUCACUUAUGCACCUAAGUAAAUUUGACUCAAUAAUUGGCAUAUGCUUCUUUUUGUUUAAAAAGCUAUAUUAAAUUAUUUUAAAUCCAAAUAAAAAAGUAUACUCAAUUACUAAUAAUUGUAAUUCACUUUAAAUAUAAUCUUAAAAAUUAAUUAACUACUUCAAUAACAAAGACGAUAAAAGUGAGACAUUAAAGAUGAAGAAAACUUAAAUAAGAACUUUUAAUUUGUUAUAAAGAUGAAUAAGAAAUAUUCGAUUUGAUUGGAUUAUUAUAUCAAUUCCAAUUUUGGUUAUCUACAAUCAUAUCAAGUUUUAAAUAACUACUAAGUUAUUAACUUUUUAAAACCAAUUGAAAUUGAGUCAGUUAUUAAUUUCAUAAUUUGAUAAUUAUAUUAAUUUUUAAUUAAAUUAAAAUUUAAAAUGAGUAAAAUUUUUGUAAACUUAAUUGGAGUUUGGAUUUAUGUCAAGUUUGAAUUGAUUAAUUAUGUUAUUUUUAGGUAUAAUCUUAUAAUUUUUAGUUAUAAUCUUAUAACAACCGUAAUGAACUUCAAAACAAAAUGAGAACACAAUAAAAAUAUUUCAUUUGAAAGGGAUUUCAUAGUUUAAUAUUCAUUAACAAAAACAACAUGGAGUUAAAUAUAUUUGGGUUGCUAUUACCUCUUAUAAUAUUCUUUACUUUUUUUUAAAUGGAGAAGGCUAAUUAAUAUCAAAAUAUCCAAAAAAGUUCAUUUUGAAUGAUGGUAAUAAAAAAGGAAGCAACAAUUUGAAAUAUACCACUCAUUAUUGUUUAGUAGAGAGGAAAUCUUUUGAAUAAGAUAUGUGGAAGGCAAAUAUUGUGAAUUUAGUGAUAGUUUUAGAAUUGAUUAUUCUUUAUAAAGUUUCUUUAGUGAAUUUUUAUUUGUUACUUUAACUCAAAUAUAUAUAACAAAUUUUUGCCCAAAAUUGAACUCAAGAUAAAAUAAUAUGGCAAAGCUUUGUUACUUGUCAAUUGUUGGCAAAAGACUUCAAUUUUUUCAAUCUUUUAUAUAUAAUUAUACUUCGUAACAGGUAUGGAAAUAUAUACACUAAUCAUUUAUCAAAUCAAUAAUAAAUCUUAUUCUUAUUAUGUAUUAUUUUAUCAUGAACUAAAAAUUAAAAAUAAUUUAGAAAAAUUAACUUAAUAUAUAUUAUAUAUAUUAUUUAAUUCAAUUUUGAUAUUUACAUUACUAUAAAAAGUUAUGAGUAAUAUUAUGUGUUAAACUACAAAUAACAAAUUAAAAGCAUUUACUCAUACUUUUCAAAUCUUCUUCACUUAACUUUUUUACUUUCUUUCUCUACUUUACAAAUUACAAAUCUAAGCAUAUAUUAUGGUCAUUUUUUUUCUAGAUAUACGUAAAUCAAUAAAAGUAGACAAUUGAUUACUUAGUAAUUAAUUAUUAAAAAUUUAAAAGUAAUUAAUAUAACUUAAUAGUAAUUAUCAAUAACUUAUUAUUAAUCAGUAAUAACUUAAUAGUAAAUCAUAGAUAACUUAGUAGUAAACUAGUACUUAAUAAUAAUUGAAUGAUAAUUUUGUAGUCAAUAAUUGAUAACUUAAUAGUAAAUCAGUAAUAACAAAAUAGUAAAUACAUUAAGAACUUAGCAAUAAAUCAAUUAUAAUAUAGUUGUAAAUGCAUAACUACAUAGUAGUAAAUCAAAGAUAACUUAUUUAAAAAUCAAUAAUAAUUUAGUAGUUAAUCAUUGAUAAUUUAGUAAUAAUCAAUGAUAACUUAAUAGUAAAUCAAGUUUGGUUUAAUAGUAACUAAUUGAUAGUAGUAAAUUAUAAAUAAUUUAGCAGUAAAUAAAUGAUAACUUGGUAUAAAUAAUUGAUAAUUUAUAGUUAAUCAUUGAAAACUUAAAAAUAAAUCAGUACAACUCAAUAUUAAAAUAUCAAUAACUAACUUAAUAUUUAAUAAAUGAUAACUUAAUAAUAAAUUAUAGAUAAUUUAUCACAAAUAAGUGGUAACUUGGUAGUGAACAAUGGAUAAUUUAGGAGUAAAUUAGUAAUAAUUUUGUAUUAAAUAAUAAAAAAUUAAGUAGUAAAUUCAUGAUAACAUAAUAGUAAAUUAUAUAAUAUAAUAAUAAAUUAUUAAUAACUAAAUAAUAAAUCAAUAAUAAUGUAGUAACUAAGUUACAAAUAAUUUAGUUAUAAAUCAGUAAUAAUUUGGUUGUAAAUUAGUUAAUCAUUGAUAACUUUAUAAUAAAUUAUCGAUAAAUUAGUAGCAAAUAACUUAUAACUUUUAGUAAAUUAUUAAUAAUUCAGUGGUAACUAUUCAACAAUAAUAGUAAAUCAUUCAUAACAUAAUGGUUAAUCAUUUAUAAAUUAGUAUAAAAAUUAUUGAUAAUUUAGUAGUAAAUUAUUAAUAGCUUAAAAUAAAUUAUUGAUAACAUAAUAAUAAAUCAAUAUAACUUAAUUGUUAAAUUAUUAAUCUUUUUUUAUACCUUAAGUUGUUAGGGAUUGAACCUUGGUUACUAAUAGAAACAAAGCCAGGAAUUUCAUCUUGGGGACUAGGAUAAAUCUACAUGAACCUACUUAAUAAAAACUUAGUUAAAAAAAUUAAAUUUGAACAAAAUAAUAAUAUUAUUAUAUAAAAAGAAAAGAAAAUUAUCUCAUAUAUUGUUAGUGGACUUUUAAAACUCUAUUUUUUAUAGUUGUAUAUGCAUAAAAACAUAUUAAUAAAUUAAGGAUAGCUUAAUAAAAAAUAAAUGACAACUUAGUAGUUAAUUAUUGAUUAAUUAGUAAUAAAUUAAUAAUAACUUCAUAGUAAAUUAGUGAAACUUAAUAGUAAAUCAAUUUUAGUGUAAUAGUAAAUAAUUGAUAAAUUUAGUAGUAAAUCAUAAAUAAAUUAAUAGUUAAUUAAUGAUAAUUUAGUAGUUAAUCAUUGAAAAUUUAAAAGUUAAUCAAUAUAACUUGUAGUAAAUAAUCGAUAACUUGAUAGUUAUAUUUAAAUCAACUAAAUCAAAUUGGAUUAAGCAUUGAUUCAUGUAAAAUAAUCCAAAAAUGAUUAAUUUGGCAUAAAAUUCGUUCACAAAUUUAAUUAAAACAGUUAAGUUGACCCAACUCAAAAUAUUCAAAUCAAAUUUAAAAAUAGAUCAAAAUCAAAUCAGCUCAUAUAAAAUUAAGGGUCUAAGCUUAUAUGCAAUUUACACAUCGGAAAUUGGUAAUGUUAUUUGAGAAGGAAAUAAAAGUGUAUAAAUCGACGACUAGGAAAAUAUAAGUCGAAAUUCAUUAAAAUAAAUUCAAAUAUAAAAUACAAAAAAUAAAAUAAAAUUUAACUUGAGAAAUGACCACACAUUAAUUGAUGCCAGUUUACUUCCAUUAUUUGCAAAAUAAAAUGUUUAAGCUUGAAUAAAUACUUAUUCUCCCAAUUUGUUUAUAUAUAUAUAUAUAUAUAUAUAUAAACAACGGCAAACUGAUCUGAUCUUUUUUUUUUAUUAUAAUUAUAUUAUAAGUUGUUUUUGCAAUUAAAAUUGUAUUGAACUAAUUAAAGAACGUUUAGAAAAAUCAAUGAAAUCACGUUGAAGAAUACUUUUAUUUAGAUAAGAAAUAUUCAUGUAAGUGAGUUUCCACAUCAACUUAGAGAGAAAAGCAUACAUUGACUUCGAAAGUCACAUUUCUUUAUUAUUAAAAACUGUCACAUUUCCCUUUCAAGAAAUUGUUUCAAUUUUUUUUCAAUCCCCAAAUUGACUCCCUACAAAGAAAUUUCUUAGUUGUUACACUCCCAUUUUGCAAUUUCACACCAACCAAAGGCACUGACAUUGUUCAUGUCAAGAGAAACAUACAGAACUAAUAAUCAAUCCAAAGUGAUAAAAAGCACAUGAUGUCACAAGGCUCAUAGAAAGAGUUUGAGAUUUAAUUUUGUUGAUUCAUGUAAUCAUCUAUAAACAUUACAUUUAAAUAAUAUGAAUUCAAAUUCAACACUUUCAAUUUUUUUUUCAAUCCCCAAAAUCAAUGCCUUACAAAGAAAUUUCUUAGGUGUUGCACUCCCAUUUUGUAAUUUCACACCAACUAAAGGCACUAACAUUGUUCAUAUUAAGAGAUACAUUUAGAACUAAUAAAGAUGGAAACUUUUAGCACAUGCUUUUCAAUUUUUAAUAGUGGAUAAUAUAUAUAAUUUGCAUGCCUGUGAUAAAAUAUUCAGCCCACCAAUCUUGAAUAAUUACAAGUACUAUAUUUUAUUGCCUCUUAAUUAUGUAUAAAUUUAUCAAUUUAAAACAUAAUACAGUGACAUAAUAAAAAAAACGGUAAGCAAAAUUACAAAGAUAAUAUGGUUUAAAAUUUUAGGUAAACUAUAUAAGAAUUUAACAAAAUAAAAAAUGUAUUUAUAUUUUCAUUUUGAUAUGAAUUUUGACACGCAAUUUUUGUGAUUGCCAAAUCUGACUAUAUUUGGUAAAAAUAAAUAGAAAAUAAUGUAAGACUAAAUCAAUCCAAAGAGAUAAAAAGCAUAUGAUGUCACAAGACUCAUAGAGAGAGUUUGAGAUUUAAUUUUGUUAAUUCAUGUAACCAUUUAUAAAACAUUAUAUUUGAUAAAUAUGAAUUCAAAUCUCAACACUUAGUUUCAACCAGAAACCAAUUUUUUUUUUGUUGCAAGCAUGUCCUGUAAAUUCAAUUAUCAAAUAUAUUUUGUUUAAUCUUGAUAAAUUCAAUUAUCAAAUAUAUAGAGAAUCUGAGAUUUAAUUUAGUUGGUUCAUGUAAUCAUCUAUAAAAAUUACAUUUAAUAGAUAUAAAUUCAAAUUUUAAUACUUACAAUCUUUUUUCAAUACCCAAACCAACGCCUUUCAAAGAAAUUUCUUUAAGUGUUGUGCUCCCAUUUUGCGAUUUCACUCCACUAAGGGCACUAACAUUGUUUAUAGGAAGAACUAACAUUGUUUAUAGAAAGAAAAUCAUACAGAAUUAAUAAAGGUGGAAACUUUAGCAAAUGUUUUUCAAUUUUUAAUAGUGGAUAAUAUAUAUAAUUUGCAUGCUUGUGAUAAAAUAUUCAGCCCACCAAGAUAAGACAGUAUAUAAAUUUUAUAUACAAGACAAAAGGGAGCAACAAAUUAAAAACAAAUUUAAAAAAAUGAUAAUUAAUGUAUUUAUAUCAUAUUUGUUUUGUAUCAAAAUCAUAAAAAAAUGCAAAAAGUAUCGUAAAAUAAUUUGUAUCAACAUGUCAAAUACAAAAUAUAUUUUUUAUUUUUUUAAACUCAUAAAUGAUUUUUUACAUCAUUUUUUGUACCGUAUUAUGAUGUCAUAUAUAAAAAUAUCAAUAUUAUGGAAGUCAACAACAUAAUUUUAAGCUUAUUAUUUUUGGAUAUUUAAAAUUGUUCAAUAAAAUUAAAAAUCCAAUGUCAUAUCAAUAGAUCAAGCUCGCCAAAAGGAAGGGGUUCCUCAUUAGAACCUAGUAGAGGCAUGGUCUCCCCCAAAUUUUGAAAACUUUUUUCAGACAUAUUAUUUUCUCAAUAAUUAUGAAAUUUCUUUACAAAUAAAUUAGUUAGGUUCCUUCAAACUUAAAUUUAUUGUGUUCAAAUAUAUUAUUUUUUAAAUUAGAUUUAAUGAUUUUUAAUUUAAAAUGAAUAGAUUAAUUAUUAUUAUAUUUUUACAAAUAUCUAGAUUUAAUUUUAAUAUAUAUGAGUAUUAUAAUUAUUAAAACCGAUCUAAAAAUUUUCAAUUGGCGUCAUUUUAUCUUUUUUUAAUCAAACUAUUUUUACUAUAUAUUGCAUGCCCAUUUUUUGUGAAAAUUGUUAUAAGCCAAAAUAAUUACAAUGAUUAAUUUAAGUAUCUUUUCAUUUUUCAUAAUUUUAAAAAUAUAAUAUAAAAAAUUAGAAGAUUUAAACUAAUCGUAUUAAAGUUUUUACUCUAUUGCUCUAAAUUUUAUUUUUUAUUUAAUAAUUUUUUUGACUUUUUUAAUUUAAUACUUAAUUAUGCUCAUUUUUUUAAAAAGAUUAUUACAUACUAAAAUAAUUAAUAUGACAAUAGCUUAAGUACCUUUUCGUAAUUUAAAAGUACCAUUUAAAAUUUAUAAAGUUUCAGUUUAUUAUAUUAAAAUCUUUACUGUUCUAAAAUCUAUCUUUUAUUCAAAAAAUAUAAUAUUUUAUGAUUUUUUACUGUAAUAUUUACAAUAUUAAAUAUGAUAAGGUAAUAUAUUAAUAAUGUUAUUUUUAUAAAAUCUGUUGCUAGUGAUUAUAUAUAAUUUGUUUGAUAUAUUUUUCCAUAUUUUUUAUUUAAUGAUAGGGUUUAAACUUUCACUUUACAUGUCUUUCUAAUUCUUUUUAACUACUUGACUAAGAAGUUGAAGACAUAUUUUGCAUAUUGACAUAUUUAUAAUCAUAAAUUUUAUUCUUAUGUUUGCAUUUAAAAUUUUUUAUUAUAUAUAGAUUCGAUAUAUUUUAAAAAAUAAAAAAGUAUUAUCAUAAAAUAUUAUUUCAAUCCCCCAAAGUUAAACAUUAAGAUCCGUUACUGUUAAACGUUAAAUCAUGGCCGACAUCAUCAUUUGGAAAUUCAGAAAAGAGAAGAAGAGAGAGCAAUUGUCCGAAGCUGACGACGAGCAAUUACUAAAAAAAGACCAAAAAAAGAGUCUUAGGAUUGAACGAGUGGGCAGCUCUAUAUAAUGGAGCAUGAACCCAAUCCGAUCAAGCUGCCAUUAGUUUCCACCAGAAACCAGUUUUUUUUUGCAAGCAUGUCCUGUAAGAUUUCCCCUGUUCUUUCUUUACUUGUCCUGCUACUAUCACUUUCACUACUCUUGCCUCCAACUUCAACCAGAAGCACUGACUUUGGUAAGUGUUACCUAUGUAAUGUAAGCUAUAACAAAAAGGAAAAAUUAAAAAUAAAAAAACAACUAUCAUUGUACAGUAACCUUCUUCUAAGUUUUGGAUUUUAAUCUAUUGUUCAGUACUUUGUUUUCCGUUUUCGGGUUGAUUGCAGGAAAGAAGGUCAAUGAAGAGAUUCAGAGAAAUCUAAUAGAAGG